UACGAAGGGGGCUAGCGUUGCUCGGAAUCACUGGGCGUAAAGGGUGCGUAGGCGGGUCUUUUAAGUCAGGGGUGAAAUCCUGGAGCUCAACUCCAGAACUGCCUUUGAUACUGAGGAUCUUGAGUUCGGGAGAGGUGAGUGGAACUGCGAGUGUAGAGGUGAAAUUCGUAGAUAUUCGCAAGAACACCAGUGGCGAAGGCGGCUCACUGGCCCGAUACUGACGCUGAGGCACGAAAAGCGUGGG
rnacentral:rRNA from 1 species